rnacentral:lncRNA from 1 species
UACGUCCCAUUUAAUAUGGCGUUUUGGCCUUUUGUCACUUCAUUUAACCGUUUUUAAGAUUACCAUCAAGGAUCUCAAGUCCAUUUUAGAGGGCGGAGUUGACGCCUUGUCUUCAAAUUUACAUGAAUGAACAUUAAAGGAUCUCAAGUCCAUUUUAGAGGGCGGAGUUGACGCCUUGUUUUCAAAUUUACAUGAAUGAACAUUAAAGAGGUCAUCAUGGGGGGUGGAGUCACUUACUGAUUCAGAGAGAGAGGAUAGGGUAAGCAAGUCAAAAGACUCAUACUGAGGAAUAAGGGGAUCAGGAUUGCAGAGAGUGAGAAAAGUCUUCAACAUCUUGUGAAACAGUUCAGAGGAAUAGGACUGAGUAUGAAUACAGGGGAAAGAAAGUAUUGAACAAAAAAUAUCUAUAACAAUAAGUUAUUUCUUAUCUUUUAAAAAUAGAUAUGUAAGAAGCUCUUCUUGUUCGUAUACAGUAUCAGAAAUUGUACUUACAAGAACUUGAGGAGGCAUUUCCUUCAAAUUGGAAUAAAACCUAGGGUUCAUGGGAACACUGGUCGCAUUUCUUGUCAUGCUGUUUCUGUGGAAGGCAUUAAAGAUGUGGUAGCAUUUUUGGAGAACUAUGCUGAAGACUACGCCAUUUUACUACCUGGGAGGAUACCUUGAGUGAGGGAUUAUGGGAAGGCCAAGCUAUUGCUGUCCAGUGUGUCCCGACGCAUGGUUUACCGGCAGUAUGCUGAUGCUGGUAGGGAACAUACUCUCUGUGAAAGUUCCUUUAAAAGAAUAUGGAGAAAGUAUAUUCCCCACAUUUACAGCAUCAAGCCAAUGACGAACUUAUGCUGGACGUGCAAAAAGAACAGCACUGCAAUUUUAAGGAAUGCUGGGUGUGAGAUUGAGCAUCAGUCUGAGAAGAAAAGGAGACAUCAUAGGGGUAAAUGGAAGCAUUGACCAGGUGGCGGGAGAGGAGCAGGAAGAGGAGGUGGCCAAGAAGGAGGAGAUGGACAAAAAAGAGGGGCAGCUGGCCAAGGAAGCGGGGGAGGUGGCCAAGGAAGCGGGGGAGGUGGCCAAGGAAGAGAGGGAGGUGGCCAAGGAAGAGGCCAAAGAGGAAGAGGAGGCCCUGCUACAACAGAUUCAUCCACAAGUGCAAAGACAAUAAACUAUUUUAACGUUACAUGUAAAGAACUUAAUUAUACUUCUAAAUAAAAAUAAUAUAUAUAUUACCUGUAAA